AGUUAGUCUUGUGAUGAGAUGUGUAAUAAACACGCGUCACAUGUCAAAAGCUAGUUUAUUUUUUUCACUUAUUUAAUUACAUUUUUAUUGAACUCUUUUUUUAUGUUAUCUUCAUCAUCACCUACACCACCAUGGUACUAGCUCUAAACCACCUUGAAAAACUACAUAAAGAGGAAGAAAGCCCAAAAGCCGCUAUUUAUGCUCCUUUUAACCACUAAAAAUUAGCUGGAAAAACAGCCCUAAACCAGUCCAAAACAGAGCUCAAACCCUCCACAACUAACCCCCAAAAUCACCACCUAAAACUCACCCAAAAUACCUCAAAAUCCACCCCAAACUGUAGCAAAAUCAGCUGUGAAAUCCGAAAGAGUUGCGAAUAUCAGCUCAAAGACACCCCCAAAUUCCAGCAGUUUUUUCCCCUCUUUAAGAUCACUCUAAAAUCAUUGAAAAUUGCAGCAAAUUCCAGCAUCGAACCUCCCCAAAACCUGCUGAAAUCAGCCCUCAAAACCAUCAAUUCACAGCUCCAAAAUACUUUAAACAGUCCAAAAAAUAAGCCCUUGGUUGUGAGAUAAUUUUUCUUCUUUCUUUUUAAUUCUUUGCAGUAAGAAUUAUAUUGAUGGAAUAUGACGAAGGAAACAGGCGAGUGAAAAUAGAGAUUCAAUAAGAAAAAAAGAGAAGCAAAAAUAAAGCAUGAUUUAGUUUCAAGAAAUAGGGAGGAAGAUGUGACACUCGUUUGCUAAAAUGAAGAAAGAGAAAAAGAAACAAAAAAGAAAAGAAAAUGAAUAAGAAAAGCGAAAACAUUAGUAUUAAAUUUAAUUAGUUAGAGUAUCCAAUAGAAAAGUGACACCUGAACAAUUAAAUUAGUUUAAAGCUUCUUUUUUUUAUUUCACGCGCAUCUAGGAAUGAGCUACACUUUUCAUGCGAGGUCAUCACUCAAUGGGGUGUGAAAUUUAGUUUAUAUAAUAAUAGCGGGGGUGUUAGGAUACCCGUAAAGUUUAAGUAUACAAAUAAUUUUUACUCACAAGUUUAAUGGGUACUUUAUGCAUUUUUUCUUCACUUUUACUUGUCCAUUUUAGCAAAUCAAGAGAAAGAUCAUAUUUUUUUCUUAUUUUACUCUUAUCAUAUUAAUUACUUAUUUUCAAAAUUACUUCCCAAGACUUUUUGAAAUGCUAUCAUUAAUAGAGAUUAUAUGGUAAAAUAUUGUCACGACCCAAAAUCUCAACCCAGUCGUGAGGGCGCCUCUCUUGAAGACUAGGCCAACCAACAUAUUAACAAUACCACUUUUAACAGUUACUUGACAUUAAUAAGUCAAGCCAUAGUGUACAUUGUCAUAAAUGCGGAAGGAAAUGAUAAAACAGGGAACCAGCCCGACUCAGCCCGAAAUCAGAAUGUCACAAGUCAUGAGCUACUACAGAGAUUACAAAUAUUUUACAAGUCUGGAAAUAUCAUAAUAACAAAAGACAAGGGAGAAAACGGGGUUGCGGACGUCAACAGCCACGUCGUUACUCCUAGUCACCGCCUGGUCUGGAAAGAAUCAGCGCGUAGGAGCGAACUCAGCUCCUUCUAUAUUUGUAUACAUGGUGCAGGGAGUAAUGUGAGUACUCAGACCCAGUGGUAAUAAAAAUAAAUAAAAACUGAACGCAUGAAAUCUCAUAAAUGCACAAAUAACGCUAUCUCAAGCAGUAAAAUCAAUUGUACAGAAAUGCAGUGGUGUAUCUGAUAAUUCUCUUUUUAAAACAGUCAAAACUACAAUUUCAACAGUAAGGAUUAAUCAAAGUUUGCCCCUCGGGCUCAAUAUGAAACGCACAGUACAGUAUCAGCCUCACGGGCCCACUCCCAACUCACCAGCACACAACAUCAGCCCCUCGGGCUCACUCCCAACUCGCCAUACACAAACCAUUGCCUCUCGGCCCACUCCCAACUCACCUGGGUACCCUGCGCUUACUAGGGGUGUGUACAGAGUCUGAAGGGGCUCCUACAGCCCAAGCGCAAUAUCAAUUGGCCUGAAAACCUUCAUACAUCACAGAUGAGGCCUGAAAGCCUUCUCACAUGACAAUCGAGGCCUGAAAGCCUCCUCACAUAACACUUGCGGCCUGAAAGCUUCCUCACAUAAUACUUGAGGCCUGAUAGCCUCCACACAUAACACUUGAGGCAUGAAAGCCUCCUCACAUCACUCGACAUAUCCUCACAGAGGGCCCUCAGCCUAAAUCAAUCCAGAGAAAUAAUCAUAAGCCUCUUAGGCUUUGGUAAAAAAAUAUUGCUCAGCUCAACAACAUUAUAAUUAUCAUUAAAUCUCGAGUUGAGUAUAAAUGUAGCUGAGUUCAUGAAUAAUAUAAUUCAAUUGGACUGAGUUCUAAUAAUAUUUCAAUUUUGUGAGG
rnacentral:lncRNA from 1 species